UUGAAAAGACGUCAAAAGAAUGUAGAGAAGUAAAGAAAGGCAUAGCUAUAUCCAUUUGGCUCAAGCUGUCAAAAGAAAGUAAGAAAGUAAAGAAGGGUAUUAGCAAUUAGCUUACAUUAGGUUAAAGCUAUAUAAGCGACAAUGGCAGCAUUUCUUCUGCUUAUUUCUUGGGCUUUGCAGCAUUCUCAUGAAAGACUAGCUAUUAGCUUACAUUAGGUUAAAGCUAUAUAAGCGACCACGGCAGCAUUUCUUCUGCCUAUUUCUUGGGCUUUGCAGCAUUCUCAUGAAAGACUUCUCCUUCAAUUUCUACACUUUGAGUAGGAAGAUGAAUUUGGAAAAAGGUGAUAAAUGCUUCUUGAUUUUCUAAAAUGUCAAACAGUUUAGAAAAAAUUUCUAUUUGUCAAAAGAACAAAUAGUAUAAACCAGAUACAGUAGAGAUAUACAACAAAUAGUAUAAACCAGAUACAGUAGAGAUAUACAAGACAGGUUGACUACAAAUCAUUAUA
rnacentral:lncRNA from 1 species